UACGUAGGGUGCAAGCGUUGUUCGGAAUUACUGGGCGUAAAGGGCGCGUAGGCGGCCUGCUAAGUCAUACGUGAAAUCCCUCGGCUCAACCGAGGAACUGCGUCUGAUACUGGUUGGCUUGAAUUCGGGAGAGGGAUGCGGAAUUCCAGGUGUAGCGGUGAAAUGCGUAGAUAUCUGGAGGAACACCGGUGGCGAAGGCGGCAUCCUGGACCGGCAUUGACGCUGAGGCGCGAAAGCGUGGGGAGCGAACAGG
rnacentral:rRNA from 1 species